CAUAUACUCCCUUUGUCUGGAAUUACUUGUUACAGAAAUGGAUAAAAAUAGAUAUAUUUAAAACUAAAGUAUGUCUAGAUACAUCCAUUUCCUCGACAAGUAUUUCGGACGGAGGGAGUAUUUA
rfam:Hordeum vulgare subsp. vulgare, WGS project CAJW01000000 data, contig: morex_contig_99216